AUGGCACGGGGCUGGAGCGCGGUGCCCAGCGUGGGGACCACGGGGGGGGGGGACGCUGCGUGUCGGGGAGGCCAGAGGGGAAGCGGGCAGGGCAGCGGGGCCGGAGGGCCGUGCCGAGCCGGAAGGAAGGAGGGAAGGGGAAGGAAGGGGCUGGGGAGCCACGCUCCGGCGUCCCCGCUCCGUGCGGCGGGGGCUGCUCCGUCGUGCAAACGCGGGGGCAGAGGCGGCGUUUUUUUGGGGAGCGGGGCCCAUUCCUGGGGCUCCCCAAGGUGCCACCGCUGCCGGCCAAGGCCAGCACGGUGCGGGCAGAGCUCGCCAGCCCCGGCUGCAACAGGCUCCCCACCGCCAGCACGGACGGGGGCACCGUGCGGGUGGUGGCGGUGGCUCCGGAGCCGGUGUCACGGCCAGGCUAGGGACAGCGAGGGCUGGCAGCGCCUGGGGACUGGGGGUGCUUGGGGACCGGGGGCACCUGGGGACCGGGGGCGUACGCAGCCAGGGAUAGCUCUGGAGAGGGGACGUUGGGGCUGGGGGUGUCGGGGGCCGGAGGCGUUCGGGGAGCGGGGACGCGUGGGCUGGGGGUGCCGGGGGACACCCACGCGGUCCCGCGGGAGCGGACCGGGAGCCCCGGCCGGGUGGCGGCAGGCACCGAGGCGGGUCCCCCCCUUUCUCCCCCUCCCUCUCCCCGUCCCCCCCACCCCCCGCUGCCCGCGGCCUGUGCCCCGGUGCCGGGUGCUUCCCUGCCCGGUGCCCGCGGAGGGCGGGAUGGGGACACCCGGCGGGGACCUCCCCGCUCCCGGUGCCGGGCGCGGCGGCCCCCCCGCUUCCUCCUCCUCCUCCUCCUUCCCCCCCCCCACGGAGAGCGCGCGCGCGCCUCCGCCGCGGCGGCGGGGGGGAGGGGGGGGCGCGCGCGCCCCGGGGACGCGCCGGGCGCGCGCCUCCGCCUCCGCCCCAGCCCCCGGUUCCCGGUGGCCACGGCCCCGCGCGCCCCCGCCCCGGCCCCGCUCCCCUCCCCUCCCCUCCGCGCAACAGGCGGGGGCGCCGCGCCCGUUCCCCCCGCGGCUCCCGUUACCGGCGGCGGCGGCGGCGCACGUGGCUCAGGCGGCGGGCGGCGGCGGCGGCUCCAUAGGGCGGCGGCGGCGGGGGGGGGGGGGGGGGGGGGGGGGGGGGGGGGGGGGGGGGGGGGGGGAGCCCGGUGCGCGCCCGGUGCGCGGCGCCGCCGCCGCCUCCCGGCGCUGCCUUUGUCUCCGGUGA
rnacentral:lncRNA from 1 species